rnacentral:rRNA from 1 species
UACAGAGGGGGCAAGCGUUGUUCGGAAUUACUGGGCGUAAAGGGCGCGUAGGUGGCCUUCUAAGUUGAACGUGAAAUCCCUGGGCUCAACCCAGGAACUGCGUCCAAGACUGGGAGGCUUGAAUCCGGGAGAGGGAUGCGGAAUUCCAGGUGUAGCGGUGAAAUGCGUAGAUAUCGGGAGGAACACCUGUGGCGAAAGCGGCGCACUGGACCACUUCUGACGCUGGAGGCGACGAAAGCUAGGGGAGCAAACAGG